GGGAGAUGGUGAUGGUGGUGGUGGGCUUAUAUAGUGGUAAGGAGGUGGAGGAGAUGGCGAUGGUGGCGGAGGGGACCUGUAGUAGUACGGAGGAUGAGAAAUAUGGGAUGGUGGAGGAGGACUCUUGUAAUAGUAUGGAGGUGGAGGUGAUGGGGAUGGCGGUGGAGGUGAUUUGUAGUAGUAGGGUGGUGGUGGAGAUGGUGAUGGUGGAGGUGGAGAUUUGUAGUAGUAGGGGGGAGGAGGAUAGGGAGAUGGUGGAGGGGGACUCUUGUAGUAGUAUGGAGGGGGAGGUGAUGGGGAUGGUGGUGGGGGAGAUUUAUAAUAGUAUGGAGGGGGAGGAGAUGGUGAUGGUGGGGGUGGUGACUUAUAGUUGUAUGGAGGGUGUGAGAUUUCUUUGGGUGGAGGAGGAGAUUUAUAAUAGUAAGGUGGGGGUGGAGAUGGUGAUGGUGGAGAUGGUGACUUAUAAUAAUAUGGUGGAGGAGGGGAUGGUGAUGGUGGGGGUGN
rnacentral:lncRNA from 1 species